AAAAAUGAGGCGUAAGGAGAAGAAUACACAGGUAGAGAUCAGGUCUAUAAUGUUAGAGGGUGUGAAGUCAUUUCUGCCUGAUAAGACAGAGUGACUCAGCCUGGCUGGAAGGGCAAAAUUUGUGCUAGCUUUUAAAUCACAACUACUGUGACAAUACAACAGCAGUACUGCUACAGCUCAAGAAGAAUUGGCAACGAUUUGGAGUACAGGCUUAACUUCUAAAUACCUGUUUAUUUGUAUUACCUAUUCACAUUUUAGCAAGUGUAUUAUUUCUUUAAUAAAACUUGGAUGAUUCUGAGUUCUGCAGUCUUGGUCCACAGUGCAUCCAAAAGAGGCUGUUACCACACGUUAACAGGCUACUUGUCUGACCCCUUCUGAGCAUGGCAAUACAGGUUAGGAAGAGGUAUUUUCCUACUUAGGAGUAGAGCUUUUUGGACAUCAAGAGUUUCCCUUAAUGGAAGACCUUUCCUACUGAAUGAAAGGUUCUACUAGGUCCAAGAUCACAGGAAGCAUAGUAAGUUUGCAAUACAGUUACAGGCUUGCUUAGAGCCCUGAUGUAAGAGAAAAAUACAGCUGGGUGGUAUCUGUGCUCUGUAAUUAGUUACAAGGAAUAAAACCUUAUUGUAUAAGAAUAAAAGGGCCUCUGUGCUGGUAAGGUAAACACAUAGUUUUCAGGGUACUGAUUCAAGAUGCUCUUUUUGACUUGUCUUUCUGAAAUGCUAAACACCAUUUUUCAUUAUAUGUUAUAAAAAGCAAAUGGACUCUAUUCUAAUUUAUGUUUUAUUGCUUUGUUUAGUGUAAUUCAGAUAUUUCAUAGCAAGUUUUAUUAUAGAGAUUGUAAAAUAUACUUAAGGUCAAAGGGUUAUUAACACCUUACUCUAUUUCUUAAGAUGUGUAAACAUAUUAUGAACUGCAUUAAAUUCUGGAACAUAAUCUUUUUUCUUUUUUGAAGAAUGAAGGUUUUCCCUUAGACCCGAAGUAUAAGGAACUGCUCAGAACUGUACCAGCUAUCACCAACCAUCACAGCAGUGCGAUAAACACUGUAAAACAGCUGGCAUACUAAACAUGGAAAUGAAAAGCAGUAAUGGUCUUUAAGAAGAGGGGGCGAAGAAAAACUUAAAAGUGUGUGCCACCAAGGUUAGGGUAUAAUUAUGCUAAAUGAAUGGAGUUAGGUGACAAAUUUCACUAACUCUGUUUAGAUUUGUAGCAUAUACAAGACCAUAUAUGGCUUCUGUCUUGAAUAAAAAAAAAUGUGUUAUGUUAUGGACCUCUUCUAUUUGAGGUUGUUUUCAAAUUAUUACUUCAGAUUUCUUU